GCCACUUUAGCUUAGUUGUAGAGCGUCUGCUUCGUAAGCAGACGGUCGUCAGUUCAAUCCUGGCAAGUGGCU
rnacentral:tRNA from 1 species